rnacentral:tRNA from 1 species
GCGGCUAUCGUCAAGUGGUUAAGACACAGGAUUGUGGCUCCUGCAUCACGGGUUCGAAUCCCGUUAGCCGCCCCA